rnacentral:rRNA from 1 species
UACGUAGGGAGCUAGCGUUAUUCGGAAUUACUGGGCGUAAAGCGCACGUAGGCGGCUUUUUAAGUUAGAGGUGAAAGCCUGGAGCUCAACUCCAGAAUUGCCUUUAAGACUGCAUCGCUUGAAUCCAGGAGAGGUGAGUGGAAUUCCGAGUGUAGAGGUGAAAUUCGUAGAUAUUCGGAAGAACCCCAGUGGCGAAGGCGACACACUGGCCCGUUACUGACGCUGAGGCGCGAAAGCGUGGGGAGAAAACAGG